GGAGCCGAUAUCAGGCACGCCCAAGACAUCUAGCUAUGUCACACCCACAAGGGUCCUCAGCAGUGACCAACCUUAAAAAUAAACGUCAGUUUGAUUUAGUUAAAGAAAAUAGGGCCGGCCAAUAUGGUGCCAGCCGCCGCGGUUAUACCGAUGGCCCAAAUUGAUUCGGCGUAAAGUGUGAUUAAAGUGGGGUUAAACUUAAACUGAACUGUAAAACACCUGUUCUUAAGAAACCCAACUCCGAAAGACACCCCAUCCCCUAUCAACUUGAACUCACGACAUCUGGGGCACAAACUGGGAUUAGAUACCCCACUAUGCCCAGCCGUAAACUUUAACUUACCCCGCCAGGGAACUACGAGCAAAGCUUAAAACUCAAAGGACUUGACGGUACCCCAUACCCAUCUAGAGGAGCCUGUCCUAUAAUCGAUAACCCCCGUUUAACCUCACCACUUUUAGCAGCCUGUAUACUUCCGUCGCCAGCUCACCGCAUGAGCGAGUGAGCUUAAUGCCAACACGUCAGGUCAAAGUGCAGCAAAUAAAGUGGAAAGAGAUGGGCUACAUUUUCUACUCUAGAAAAUACGAAACACUAUGUGAAAUAGAAGGUGGAUUUAGUAGUAAGAAGAAACCAUAAUGUUCUUCUUAACGUCGCACUGGGGUGUGUACAUACCGCCCGUCACCCUCUUU
rnacentral:rRNA from 1 species